ensembl:lncRNA
UUUGCUUUGAUUUAAAUAAUUAAUUUAAGGGGAAUUAUCCUAAACAUUUAUUGCAUGACUACCUAGUAAGUUCGGAAUACUGCAGCCAAUGUUAAUUGGUGAUGUGUCCCAAAAUAAUUGAUAUUAUGAAAGUUUGACAGGAUUGUUCAUCAGCAAAAAAAAAAAUUUGUGUAGUGAAAGUUUUGAAAAACAUUUACAACCAACCAGAAUCAAUUGGACACAGUAAUACAUAAUGCAGCUUUAAUAUUUUAAUACAUGUAUGAUUUAUUAGAGUGGGUAAACUGAGCAUUAUGCAAAGUAGUUAAGUCAUGUAUGUCAAGGGACUAUGUUACAAUAUGUGCAAUGUUACCAUAAAUAAAUCUUACAAUAAAUAUGGACAUUUCAUUUACAGGUGCAAUGGCAAUAAACAACACUGUAGUUGGUACAUAGGUCGUGGUGCAGCAAGUUUAAGGGUAGUGGAGAAGCACAAGAGGGACUUUGAGUGAAGUAACUGAGGGCAGAAAAGGAUAUCAGGGUGCCCAGGAACUUGAAGCUGCUGAUCAUCUCCAUGUCAAUGAUUUACACCCAGAGCCCUGAGUCUGCUAACCAGUUUGUGGGUCAGGAUGGCGUUGAAAGCAGAGCUAUAAAAUGCUCUGACACACCCACAGUCCGAUGCCAAACAGCGGCUCUCCGUCCUACAGUGGCUGAAGACAUUUUGCCUGACGUCAAACAUUAAAAAGAGUGUCAGAUUGAAGUGUCUGGAAGAAAAUGUAAACAGAACCACAAGAGCAGAUUACUUUUUUGUCAUCUUUACUGGCACAGUUUUAAAAUGUAUAAUUGUAGUCAUUUUCAAUUGAUUCAUUGACAUCAAUAACCAUAGAUUGUUUGUAGUUCAUAGUUCAUAACAUUAACACAACUGACAAACGUUGCUUGACUGUAAUUUGGAAUACACGUUUUAAUAACAUUGGCUAUUUGAUUGGGUUUAAUGUUGCAUACCUUGUGUUGUGCCAUGCAUGGCCAACCAGGUAAGAAUCCCCAGAAUUAAUUGAUACUUGAAUCAGGUCUCCU